GACGAACGCUGGCGGCGUGCUUAACACAUGCAAGUCGAACGGAAAGGCCCUGCAUUUGUGGGGUGCUCGAGUGGCGAACGGGUGAGUAACACGUGAGUAACCUGCCCUUGACUUUGGGAUAACUUCAGGAAACUGGGGCUAAUACCGGCUAGGAGCUCCUGCUGCAUGGUGGGGGUUGGAAAGUUUCGGCGGUUGGGGAUGGACUCGCGGCUUAUCAGCUUGUUGGUGGGGUAGUGGCUUACCAAGGCUUUGACGGGUAGCAGGCCUGGGAGGGUGCACGGCCACAUGGGGACUAAGAUACGGCCCAGAAUCCUACGGGGGGCAGCAGUGGGGAAUAUUGCACAAUGGGCGGAAGCCUGAUGCAGCAACGCCGCGUGCGGGAUGACGGCCUUCGGGUUGUAAACCGCUUUCGCCUGUUACGAAGCGUGAGUGACGGUAAUGGGUAAAGAAGCACCGGCUAACUACGUG
rnacentral:rRNA from 1 species